rnacentral:rRNA from 1 species
UACGGAGGGUGCGAGCGUUGUCCGGAAUCACUGGGCGUAAAGGGCGCGUAGGCGGCCUGAUAAGUAGGGGGUGAAAUCCUGUGGCUUAACCGCAGGGCUGCCUUCUAAACUGUCAGGCUAGAGCACAGUAGAGGCAGGUGGAAUUCCCGGUGUAGCGGUGGAAUGCGUAGAGAUCGGGAAGAACAUCAGUGGCGAAGGCGGCCUGCUGGGCUGUUGCUGACGCUGAGGCGCGACAGCGUGGGGAGCAAACAGG